GACGAACGCUGGCGGCGUGCUUAACACAUGCCAGUCGAACGAUGAAGCACCAGCUUGCUGGUGUGGAUUAGUGGCGAACGGGUGAGUAACACGUGAGUAACCUGCCCCUCACUCUGGGAUAAGCCUGGGAAACUGGGUCUAAUACUGGAUACGACCGAUCUCCGCAUGGAGUGUUGGUGGAAAGUUUUUGUGGUGGGGGAUGGACUCGCGGCCUAUCAGCUUGUUGGUGGGGUAAUGGCCUACCAAGGCGACGACGGGUAGCCGGCCUGAGAGGGCGACCGGCCACACUGGGACUGAGACACGGCCCAGACUCCUACGGGAGGCAGCAGUGGGGAAUAUUGCACAAUGGGCGAAAGCCUGAUGCAGCGACGCCGCGUGAGGGAUGACGGCCUUCGGGUUGUAAACCUCUUUCACCAGGGACGAAGCUAACGUGACGGUACCUGGAGAAGAAGCACCGGCUAACUACGUG
rnacentral:rRNA from 1 species